rnacentral:rRNA from 1 species
UAGAGUUUGAUCCUGGCUCAGAACGUACGCUGGCGGCACGCCUAACACAUGCAAGUCGAACGAAGUAGCAAUACUUAGUGGCAGACGGGUGAGUAACAUGUGGGUAUCUGCCCUUUGGCCUGGAAUAACACGAGGAAACUUGUGCUAAUACCGGAUAAGUCUUUACGGAGAAAGCUUUAUGCACCAUUGGAUGAGCCUGCACUUGAUUAGUUUGUUGGUGGGGUAAUGGCCUACCAAGACUGUGAUCAAUAGCUGAUUUGAGAGGAUGAUCAGCCACAUUGGGACUGAGACACGGCCCAAACUCCUACGGGAGGCAGCAGUGGGGAAUCUUGCACAAUGGAGGAAACUCUGAUGCAGCGAUGCCGCGUGAGUGAAGAAGGCCUUUGGGUUGUAAAGCUCUUUCGUCGGGGAAGAAAAUGACUGUACCCGAAUAAGAAGGUCCGGCUAACUUCGUGCCAGCAGCCGCGGUAAUACGAAGGGACCUAGCGUAGUUCGGAAUUACUGGGCUUAAAGAGUUCGUAGGUGGUUGAAAAAGUUGGUGGUGAAAUCCCAGAGCUUAACUCUGGAACUGCCAUCAAAACUUUUCAGCUAGAGUAUGAUAGAGGAAAGCAGAAUUUCUAGUGUAGAGGUGAAAUUCGUAGAUAUUAGAAAGAAUACCAAUUGCGAAGGCAGCUUUCUGGAUCAUUACUGACACUGAGGAACGAAAGCAUGGGUAGCGAAGAGGAUUAGAUACCCUCGUAGUCCAUGCCGUAAACGAUGUGUGUUAGACGUUGGAAAUUUAUUUUCAGUGUCGCAGCGAAAGCGAUAAACACACCGCCUGGGGAGUACGACCGCAAGGUUAAAACUCAAAUGAAUUGACGGGGACCCGCACAAGUAGUGGAGCAUGUGGUUUAAUUCGAAGAUACGCGCAGAACCUUACCAACACUUGACAUGUUCGUCGCGACUUUAAGAGAUUAAAGUUUUCGGUUCGGCCGGACGAAACACAGGUGCUGCAUGGCUGUCGUCAGCUCGUGUCGUGAGAUGUUGGGUUAAGUCCCGCAACGAGCGCAACCCUCACUUUUAGUUGCCAUCAUUUAGUUGGGCACUCUGAAAGAACUGCCAGUGAUAAGCUGGAGGAAGGUGGGGAUGACGUCAAGUCCUCAUGGCCCUUACGUGUUGGGCUACACACGUGCUACAAUGGUAUCUACAACAGGAAGCAAAACUGCGAGGUUAAGCAAAUCCUUAAAAGAUACCUCAGUUCGGAUUGCACUCUGCAACUCGAGUGCAUGAAGCUGGAAUUACUAGUAAUCGUGGAUCAGCGUGCCACGGUGAAUGCGUUCCCGGGUCUUGUACACACCGCCCGUCACACCAUGGGAGUUGGUUCUACCUUAAGGCAAGGUUUAAAACCCUUGACCACGGUAUAGUCAGCGACUGGGGUGAAGUCGUAACAAGGUAACCA